GAUACGGGUUGUCUUUAAAAUGAAUAAAAGAGUUGUGACUUGUGCAGUCGUCUAACAUAGAAGUCAUUUGAAGAAAACAUCCAUGCACUGCAGACGUAGAUAAUUCUUUUAGAUCUGAAAACACUUGAAGAGAUAAAACAUGGCAUCAAAACUCAUAAUUGUUGUGCUUCUGGUCGCUAUGAUGAUGAUCACCACCAGAGCGUCCAGCAACGAAGAGGGCGCUCUUGAUAAAUCGGCAGACGUUCAGGAAGAUGCGAGAGAUCAGUCUAAUUUCAAAUACGGAUUGUGCCUCCGUAAAGGACAUGAUGAAGAAUAUUGCCGAGAUCGCUUUUACAAGCAUCCCGGCAUGCCAUGGAAAUAAAGAGCUACGGAGGCAGAACAGACUUAUUACUGGAUACACAUUGAUCCACGCGUUCAAUAUUUAUUAUUCGCUGAUAAACAAAACCCCUUAAAUUCUAAGUUUCCAUAUCUUUCUAACAUUGAAU